UGUAGGCGGAGUGACCAGGUAAAUCCGGUUGCUUAUCAACGCUGAGGUGUGAUGACGAUGCACUACGGUGCAGAAGUAGUUGAUGCCAUGCUUCCAGGAAAAGCCUCUAAGCAUCAGGUAACAUGAAAUCGUACCCCAAACCGACACAGGUGGUCAGGUAGAGAAUACUCAGGCGCUUGAGAGAACUCGGGUGAAGGAACUAGGCAAAAUGGUGCCGUAACUUCGGGAGAAGGCACGCUGGCAUUAGGUAAAGGGACUUGCUCCCGGCGCCGAAGCCAGUCGCAGAUACCAGCUGGCUGCAACUGUUUAAUAAAAACACAGCACUGUGCAAACACGAAAGUGGACGUAUACGGUGUGACGCCUGCCCGGUGCUGGAAGGUUAAUUGAUGGGGUCAGCCGCAAGGCGAAGCUCUUGAUCGAAGCCCCAGUAAACGGCGGCCGUAACUAUAACGGUCCUAAGGUAGCGAAAUUCCUUGUCGGGUAAGUUCCGACCUGCACGAAUGGCGUAAUGAUGGCCAGGCUGUCUCCACCCGAGACUCAGUGAAAUUGAACUCGCUGUGAAGAUGCAGUGUACCCGCGGCAAGACGGAAAGACCCCGUGAACCUUUACUAUAGCUUGACACUGAACAUUGAGCCUUGAUGUGUAGGAUAGGUGGGAGGCAUAGAAGUGUGGACGCCAGUCUGCAUGGAGCCAACCUUGAAAUACCACCCUUUAAUGUUUGAUGUUCUAACUCGGCCCCGUAAUCCGGGGUGAGGACAGUGUCUGGUGGGUAGUUUGACUGGGGCGGUCUCCUCCCAAAGAGUAACGGAGGAGCACGAAGGUUAGCUAAUCACGGUCGGACAUCGUGAGGUUAGUGCAAAGGCAUAAGCUAGCUUGACUGCGAGAGUGACGGCUCGAGCAGGUACGAAAGUAGGUCUUAGUGAUCCGGUGGUUCUGAAUGGAAGGGCCAUCGCUCAACGGAUAAAAGGUACUCCGGGGAUAACAGGCUGAUACCGCCCAAGAGUUCAUAUCGACGGCGGUGUUUGGCACCUCGAUGUCGGCUCAUCACAUCCUGGGGCUGAAGUAGGUCCCAAGGGUAUGGCUGUUCGCCAUUUAAAGUGGUACGCGAGCUGGGUUUAGAACGUCGUGAGACAGUUCGGUCCCUAUCUGCCGUGGGCGUUGGAAGAUUGAGAGGGGCUGCUCCUAGUACGAGAGGACCGGAGUGGACGAAUCACUGGUGUUCGGGUUGUCAUGCCAAUGGCAUUGCCCGGUAGCUAAAUUCGGAAGAGAUAACCGCUGAAAGCAUCUAAGCGGGAAACUUGCCUCGA
rnacentral:rRNA from 1 species